UGGUCCUGUGGAGCAGCAAAUGGUCAGAGGCUGUUUCAGGCCUGCCACUGGCCCUGGAGAUGGGACGUGAGUGCGGGAGGAGAGCUGGAUGGGCAUGAUUUCAGCUCUGUGUGGCCAAGUCCUGCUAAGAGCUUGCCACUCAGGACAGGUACUCUGUUCAAGAAGCAGUCUACCACUAUUGUGCCACUUCCGACUCUUCUGCCAGAGUCUCCAAUCCAGCGGUGGCCCUAGAUCACCUCAACAGUUUCCAGACUCAUGGCCUACGGUCCUGGGCUAUUCUUGCCCUCCCUAUGUCUGUCUCUUGAAGACCAUGUUCCCACACUUGACAGUGAAAGCAAAGGGUCCUGGUCAGCACUCACAACCCAGAAACAAGUCCUUCCUUGUGUCUUUAGGUGCCUGGCGAGUGUGGAGGACACACAGCCUUCGAAGGCAGCUGUAGGAGGCCACCUCACUCUCUCCAACCCAUCUACAUCUCUCUGCUGCAGGAGUUGGCCUUAGGCAUAGCCACAGAGAGGCCCCGCUGGUUGUGUUGGAGACAUUAAGGGAAGCCCUGUGACCUUGCUGACAGAGCCCGAGGCUGCUGGAGCCUGAGCUGCAGGACAGCCCCAAGCCCGAGCACCGACAUUCCAGUGGAAUCAAUGGGCAGAAGAACAUGUAGCUGCCGCUCACUGUGCCUUUCCACCCAAGGGCCCCAUCUUCAGAGACUACAUUCAGGUACCACCUUCCAUGGUUGUAGCCCAGCAUGCUGACUUUACCAUCUCUGUUCUGUUAUCGAGAAAGCAUCCUGACUCUCCUGGAAUCUGCACUCAGGAGAUUUAGGGCUAAGGAAAAGGUCAGGGUCCCGGUCCAUGAGGAACUGUAGGGCUGGGGAGUGCACCAAGAAAAUCUAGGCUCUCAAGAAAAGGAGAGUGGCCAAGAAACCAUAGAAACCCAGGAUAAGAGACUUGGGUCAGCCUUGGGUCAGGGCAGCUGCCAAGAGGAGGUAACAAUCCAGCUAAGUCUGGAAGGAGCCAGCAAGGCUGAGAGCUCAUCUGCCCAGCUAAGGGCACGGACCUGGGAAAGACUGUACCCUGGACCUCAUGCCUCUGUCUGCCAGACCUUGUCCCUGGGGAGUGGCUCAGAAGCACCUCAUUUGAUGAUCCUCUCUAGUCCUUCGCUUCUGCCCAGGAUGGCAGCAGCUAUGUCCCUGACUAUUCUUUACUGUGGGCCCAAGUGGAACAUUCUACAAUGUUACUGUGCACUCCUGCCACUGUGCACACAGGUAUCUUCUCAGUGCGUGAGAGAAUGAAUGGACGGAUGGGGAAAUCAGUGGCAGGUAGGGCGAGCCUGGGAAAGCUGGAGUGCAGGAACAAGAAAUAGCAAAGAGGAGCAUGGUCAGUAAUACCAGAUAAUCCCCUUCUUGAGCCCCCAACACUGGCUGGGUGAAGAUCCCUGAGCCCCCACGGUCCCACUUGUAGAACACAGGUUGGAUGACAAAUGUUUUGUCCCCAGACACUUCUGCUCAUGCUGGUGGUGCAGUUACAGCCCAAUAGCUGAGGCUGUGAAAGAUCUGCAGACAGGAGGAGGCCAGGGCCCAGUAUGUGGCACCUGCCCAGCUGGGGACCUAGACACUUGAGUGCCUGGCAGCCAAUCACCUGAUCCAUAUUUAUUUUUAAAACAUACAGUGGUGGACAAAAGCCCUGCUCUCCUGAAGCUCACUGGCCUAAACAAAGCAGCGCUGACUACUCAGAUUAGUGAUCACAGAAGGGGCUAUAAAGAAUGGCAGGGCAGGCAGAAAGGAUGGAAGGUACUGGGGUAGGCUGUUCUCUCCUAGGCGCUCAGAGGCAAUACGGGUGGGCAGAGGGCAGAAGAAGCAUUAUCUUGGUAAAAUCUAUCCUACAAGCUUUGUGGGAGCCCUACUUACAGUCCUC